rnacentral:rRNA from 1 species
CGCGUAGGUGGUUGUGUAAGUCGGAUGUGAAAUCCCCAGGCUCAACUUGGGAACCGCAUCUGAUACUGCAUGACUCGAGUGCAGCAGAGGGAAACGGAAUUCCUGGUGUAGAGGUGAAAUUCGUAGAUAUCAGGAGGAACACCGGUGGCGAAGGCGGUUUCCUGGGCUGACACUGACACUGAGGCGCGAAAGCGUGGGUAGCAAACAGGAUUAGAUACCCUGGUAGUCCACGCUGUAAACGGUGAGUGCUGGGUGUGGGAGGUGUAAUGCCUUCUGUGCCGAAGCUAACGCGUUAAGCACUCCGCCUGGGGAGUACGGCCGCAAGGUUGAA